CAGGGACAAAUUUUAUCCUCGGUACGUUUUCCUAGAUGUCCCAUGCUCAAAUCAGAGAAGAAAGACUGCUUUGUACUGCGAAUCGGGAUCCCAAUGGUCUUCAGACUCCUGGGAAGAUGAUAGGCUGAGCUGCUGCCGGAUGCCAGAGACCAAUGAUGGAGUAGAAGUAGAAACAGGCUGAACCCAGUGACAGUGGUCACUUCCUCUGCAUCCUGUGAUGUGAGCAUCUCUGCUCCAUCAGGACCACUUCUACCAACACCGAGUGAAAAAUCAUGUAUAGCACCUUCCCAACUAUGAAAACUAUCUAUGAGGAAUGAAGAACCCAGCUUAUAUAUCCCAACAAGGUCUUUGAAGCAGUCCAAAUAUCACAAUAUGGUUACAUUCUACUUUUUCUUUAAAUGAGAGAUUACAACGAGUACAGCUUAUAUAUCCCAACAAGGUCUUUGAAGCAGUCCAAAUAUCACAGUUUGGUUACAUUCUACUUUUUCUUAAAGUGAAAGAUUACAAUGAGUACAGCACCUUCCCUACUAUGAAAACUAUCUAUGAGAAAUGAAGAUCCCAGCUUAUAUAUCCCAACAAGGUCUUUGAAGCAGUCCAAAUAUCACAAUAUCGUUACAUUCUACGUUUUUUUUUCAGUGAAAGAUUACAAUGAGUACAGCAUGUAUAGGACCUCCCCAACUAUGAAAACUAUGAGGAAUGAAGAUCCCAGCUUAUAUAUCCCAACAAGGUCUUUGAAGCUGUCCAAAUAUCACAAUAUGGUUACAUUCCACUUUUGUUUUUUCAGUGAAAGAUUACAAUGAGUACAGCUUAUAUAUCCCAACAAGGUCUUUGAAGCAGUCCAAAUAUCACAGUUUGGUUACAUUCUACUUUUUCUUAAAGUGAAAGAUUACAAUGAGUACAGCAUGUAUAGGACCUCCCCAACUAUGAAAACUAUCUACGAGGAAUGAAGAUCUCAGCUUAUAUAUCCCAACAAGGUCUUUGAAGCUGUCCAAAUAUCACAAUAUGGUUACAUUCCACUUUUGUUUUUUCAGUGAAACAUUACAAUGAGUACAGCAUGUAUAGCACCUUCCCAACUAUGAAAACUUUCUAUGAGAAAUGAAGAUCCCAGCUUAUAUAUCCCAAUAAGAUCUUUCAAGAAGUACAAUUAUCAUAAUAUUGCUACAUUUUAUUUUUUCUUUAAGUGAAAGAUUACAAUGAGUACAGGAACAAGAAUGAGAUCAUUUUCACCAAUGACAAAGGCCACUUGGACAAGGAUGACAGUGAAAAACCCAGUGUUCUAGGUGGCUGACACAUACAAAGCUUAAGAUGAGAGUCAGAGAGACAAAAUUCCAGGGUUUCAUCUGGAAUCCUAUGUAUCCAUGGAUAGCAACAGUUGAAGAUGAGAAAACUUCAAGAUCACCAAUGAGGACAACAGAAGAUUCUUUUCAAGUGUGAUGAGAUCAGUGGAUGCGUGGAUGAAAAUCCAACUGCAGGGAAGGAAGAAUACGACUAGCAUCACCAUUACCAGUCUAAAGUCAGGGUUGGUGACAUGUCAGGCAGAAGGCCUGUGGCUUCCCUACUGAGGUAGCUCACCCUCUGUGGUGCUCCUUUAGGGCCUACUGUAGAAGAAUUUGAUUAAUCUAAGUAGUGACACAGCAUUCCUGCACAGGAGAACAUUGGGAAGGCUGCAAUCCAGAAAGUUCUGGGCAGCUUUAAUGUUGAUCGGCUGCAGUCAUUUCCUGGGCACUCCCAAUAUUUGAAUAAAGGUCAUGUGUAUAUGGAGAAGUAGUAACGCUGCAUUCUGUAAGCUCGGAACCAUGAUCAGAAAAUUCAGUAUUUUAAACUGCUCACAAUUUGCGCCAAAAUGUAGACAUUUUAAGUCCAUUCCUGUGCUGAUAGAAUGUUAUGACAAUAUCUCUUCUAUUCUGAGGGGCUGGAACUUUUGCUGGAUUUCC